rnacentral:rRNA from 1 species
UACAGAGGGUGCGAGCGUUAAUCGGAAUUACUGGGCGUAAAGCGUGCGUAGGCGGCUAUCUAAGUCGGGUGUGAAAGCCCCGGGCUCAACCUGGGAAUUGCAUUCGAGACUGAAUAGCUAGGGUACGGUAGAGGGAAGCGGAAUUUCCGGUGUAGCGGUGAAAUGCGUAGAUAUCGGAAGGAACAUCAGUGGCGAAGGCGGCUUCCUGGACCAGUACCGACGUUCAGGCACGAAAGCGUGGGGAGCAAACAGG